ACCCAUGACUAUGACGUGAAGAUGCGCGCACUGGAAAAGUUCAUCGGCGAAGGCGACAAGGUGAAGGUCACCAUGCGGUUUCGCGGGCGUGAAAUGGCGCACCAGAACAUCGGGCUCGAAUUGCUCCACAAGGUCAAGGACCAGUUCGAGGAGAUCACCAAGGUCGAAUCCAACCCACGCGCCGAAGGGCGCCAGAUGGUCAUGGUGCUCGCGCCGCGCUGAGCCUCCAUAUCCCAUCGUUCGCACAUGCAAAGGUGGCCGCAGGGCCGCCUUUAUUUUUGCGCCGCCGAUCGUCACAGGGCCGUU
rnacentral:misc_RNA from 1 species